UACGUAGGUGGCGAGCGUUAUCCGGAUUUACUGGGCGUAAAGCGCUUGUAGGCGGCUUCGUAAGUUGGGCGUGAAAGCUCCGGCCUUAACCCGGAGAGGCCGUCCAAUACUGCGGAGCUCGAGGGUGCCAGAGGAAGGUGGAAUUCCUGGUGUAGCGGUGAAAUGCGGAGAUAUCAGGAGGAACACCCGUGGCGAAGCCUGCUUUCUUGGGCAUUCCUGACGCUGAGACGCGAAUGGUAGGGUAGCAAACAGG
rnacentral:rRNA from 1 species